rnacentral:rRNA from 1 species
GUCUAUGGCCAUGCCACCCUGAACACGCCCAAUCUCGUCUGAUCUCAGAAGCUAAGCAGGGUCAGGCCUGGUUAGUACUUGGAUGGGAGACCACCUAAGAAGACCGGGUGCUGUAGGCA